AGUCCAGUGGUUAUGACUCAGCACUUUCACUGCUGUGGCCCCAGGUUCAAUUCCUGG
rnacentral:tRNA from 1 species